UUUUGAACUAACAAAUAACAAAAUGGGACAUCAAUUAUAUACUCAAACAAAAUCUGUUAUCGGAAUUGGGAAGAUGUCUUUUUACGGCUCGCCGGAAACUACCAAUCACCGGCUACUUCUUCUCCAUCGCCUUCCGAGGUUCAAAACUAUGUUCUUGUCCAAGCUCCGAACCAGUUACAGAAUUCUCGACCCGUUGGAGGAAUCCGACCCAUCAUUUCUCCACCUCUCACGUUCUUGUCCAAGAUCCGAACCAGUUACAGAAUUCUCGACCCGUUGGACGAAUUCGACCCAUCAUUUCUCUACCUCUCCAGCUCGGUUCGGCUCAUGCUCUGUGUGGGUCCCAGUCCCGUCACUUCCGAAACCUUGGAUACUUACCCUUCAUUAGAGUGCAUCGUGGGUACUAGCGCCGGCUUUGAUCACUUUGACCUCUCCGAGUGUUGC
rnacentral:lncRNA from 1 species